UAAGGAAUAUUGGUCAAUGGGCGGAAGCCUGAACCAGCCAUGCCGCGUGCAGGAAGACGGCCCUACGGGUUGUAAACUGCUUUUGUACCGGAAUAAACCUCAUUAUGUAUAAUGAGCUGAAUGUACGGUAAGAAUAAGGAUCGGCUAACUCCGUGCCAGCAGCCGCGGUAAUACGGAGGAUCCAAGCGUUAUCCGGAUUUAUUGGGUUUAAAGGGUGCGUAGGCGGCCUGUUAAGUCAGGGGUGAAAGACGGUAGCUCAACUAUCGCAGUGCCCUUGAUACUGAUGGGCUUGAAUGUACUUGAGGUAGGCGGAAUGUGACAAGUAGCGGUGAAAUGCAUAGAUAUGUCACAGAACACCAAUUGCGAAGGCAGCUUACUAAAGUAUGAUUGACGCUGAGGCACGAAAGCGUGGGGAUCAAACAGGAUUAGAUACCCGUGUAGUCC
rnacentral:rRNA from 1 species